rnacentral:rRNA from 1 species
UACGGAGGGGGGCUAGCGUUGUUCGGAAUUACUGGGCGUAAAGCGCGCGUAGGCGGCUUUGUAAGUUAGAGGUGAAAGCCCCGGAGCUCAACUCCGGAACUGCCUUUAAGACUGCAUCGCUAGAACGUCGGAGAGGUAAGUGGAAUUCCGAGUGUAGAGGUGAAAUUCGUAGAUAUUCGGAAGAACACCAGUGGCGAAGGCGACUUACUGGACGACUGUUGACGCUGAGGUGCGAAAAGCGUGGGGGAGCAAACAGG